rnacentral:rRNA from 1 species
CGGCUCACCAAGGCAACGAUGCGUAGCCGACCUGAGAGGGUGAUCGGCCACACUGGGACUGAGACACGGCCCAGACUCCUACGGGAGGCAGCAGUAGGGAAUCUUCCGCAAUGGACGAAAGUCUGACGGAGCAACGCCGCGUGAGUGAUGAAGGUUUUCGGAUCGUAAAGCUCUGUUGUUAGGGAAGAACAAGUACCGUUCGAAUAGGGCGGUACCUUGACGGUACCUAACCAGAAAGCCACGGCUAACUACGUGCCAGCAGCCGCGGUAAUACGUAGGUGGCAAGCGUUGUCCGGAAUUAUUGGGCGUAAAGGGCUCGCAGGCGGUUUCUUAAGUCUGAUGUGAAAGCCCCCGGCUCAACCGGGGAGGGUCAUUGGAAACUGGGGAACUUGAGUGCAGAAGAGGAGAGUGGAAUUCCACGUGUAGCGGUGAAUGCGUAGAGAUGUGGAGGAACACCAGUGGCGAAGGCGACUCUCUGGGUCUGUAACUGACGCUGAGGAGCGAAAGCGUGGGGAGCGAACAGGAUUAGAUACCCUGGUAGUCCACGCCGUAAACGAUGAGUGCUAAGUGUUAGGGGUUUCCGCCCCUUAGUGCUGC